rnacentral:rRNA from 1 species
CAAAGCCGCGAGGUGGAGCGAAUCUCCAAAAAUUAGUCCCAGUUCAGAUUGCAGGCUGCAACUCGCCUGCAUGAAGUCGGAAUUGCUAGUAAUCGUGGAUCAGCAUGCCACGGUGAAUACGUUCCCGGGCCUUGUACACACCGCCCGUCACACCAUGGGAGUCGGUAACACCCGAAGCCUGUAGUCUAACCGCAAGGAGGACGCAGUCGAAGGUGGGAUUGAUGACUGGGGUGAAGUCGUAACAAGGUACC